UGGAAUCUGAGUAAGACUUCCCACAUGUUACUGUUCCAUAUUUCAUUGGGAUUUGUAUCUUGGCUCCUUAACUCUUAGCUUCAUCAGGGAUUAUGUCCCUUCUUUACAUAUCUAGAUUAUUAAUCUCUGUUAUAUGUGUCUAUCCCAUAUCUAAUCACUUCCCUUGAAAGUUUCUUGUGUUCUUAUGUCUGAGUUUUUUCAGAACCACUGCUGCUUGUCACCCAGGUGUGAAAGCCAGAAGCCAUAUAUACUUCCUUUUUCAGUCUUAACUAAACAUCCUCUCACCCUGUCACUCUGUAAGUCCUGUUUAAACUUCUUGUGUUCCUCAAAUUACUCUUUCCUUUGCUUCACUGCAUUUCAGCCCUUCGGUGACUUCCUAUUUUUACUCAGUAAAAGCUGAAGUCCUUUAAUGACCCACAUGGUGGAAAACAGAGCAUUGUAAAGUGAUUUCUUUAAAACUUUGUCAGACUCCUAAGAAAUGUACAGGCUGAUGCGAGUGUACAUUACUGGCUUCCAACAGAAGAACCUAUGCAGCAGAUUAGAAGGAUUCAAGAGUGGGAGAUAGAUACAGCUUCUCUCCAGGAAGCUCUUCCCUGUAACUAUACCAUCCUUUAUUUCUCAGGCCGAGCCUUGGGGAUCUAGAAACAGUGCUGUGAUCUGACAUUAUCACUAAGUUUCU